GGACUUCGGGAACGCGACGGUGGUCAUAAAGAGAGGAGUCUUCCACCGGGCGAGAGUCUCUCAAGCGGCUUUAUUCUGAGGGCUUAGAAAUUACCAGAGAACCUCAAGUCAAAUAUGAUGUUUUCUGGGGAGAAGGAAAAGACAUUGAAGAAAUAUUUUAUAAGCAGCAGCAAUGAAUUGGCUGUCAGUACAUGUUCCAGUGAGAGACUGGGUUUUCUCCAUGUCGCUGACUUUGACCCCAACUUGUCGCCAAAUUCAAAGGUGAAAAUGUUGUCAGCAGAUGUAGUGUAGAUUCACCUGGGCAGCAACACUGGAUCUGUUGGGAAAGGGAAGGAAGAAAUAUUAAAAAACUCAAUAUGUCAUCUAGGUUUUUUAUUAAAUCUCUCAUUUACAACA